rnacentral:rRNA from 1 species
AAUAAGCUAAUUAAGAGCGUAAGGUGGAUGCCUUGGCUCUCAGAGGCGAUGAAGGACGUGAUAAGCUGCGAUAAGCUACGGGGAUUGGCACACACAAUUUGAUCCGUAGAUUUCCGAAUGGGGAAACCCACUAUAUUGAAGAUAUAGUAUCCGUUAAGGAAGCAAACCCAGGGAACUGAAACAUCUAAGUACCUGGAGGAAUAGAAAACAAAAGUGAUUCCGCUAGUAGUGGCGAGCGAACGCGGAACAGCCCAAACCAAAAUUGUUUCGGCAAUUUUGGGGUUGUAGGACCACGAUAUUGAAUGUUUGAUGAAUUAGAAUUCUUUGGAAAAAGAAACCAUAGAGGGUGAUAGUCCCGUAUAAGUAAAGAGAAUUAUUCAUAGUGGUAUCCUGAGUAGCGCGGGACACGUGUAAUCCUGUGUGAAUCUGGCGGGAUCAUCCGCUAAGGCUAAAUACU